UACGUAGGGUGCGAGCGUUGUCCGGAAUUAUUGGGCGUAAAGAGCUUGUAGGCGGUUUGUCGCGUCUGCUGUGAAAAUCCGAGGCUCAACCUCGGACUUGCAGUGGGUACGGGCAGACUAGAGUGUGGUAGGGGAGACUGGAAUUCCUGGUGUAGCGGUGGAAUGCGCAGAUAUCAGGAGGAACACCAAUAGCGAAGGCAGCCCGCUGGGACGUUACUGACAC
rnacentral:rRNA from 1 species